UACGUAGGAGGCAAGCGUUGUCCGGAUUUAUUGGGCGUAAAGAGCGUGUAGGCGGCCAAGCAGGUCAGCUGUGAAAACUCGAGGCUCAACCUCGAGACGUCGGUUGAAACCGCUUGGCUAGAGUCCGGAAGAGGAGAGUGGAAUUCCCGGUGUAGCGGUGAAAUGCGCAGAUAUCGGGAAGAACACCCGUGGCGAAGGCGGCUCUCUGGGACGGUACUGACGCUGAGACGCGAAAGCGUGGGGAGCGAACAGG
rnacentral:rRNA from 1 species